rnacentral:rRNA from 1 species
AUCAACUUUCGAUGGUAGGAUAGAGGCCUACCAUGGUGGUAACGGGUAACGGGGUGUUAGGGCACGACACCGGAGAGGGAGCCUGAGAAACGGCUACCACAUCCAAGGAUGGCAGCAGGCGCGCAAAUUACCCGAUCCCGACACGGGGAGGUAGUGACAAUAAAUAACAAUACGGGGUCCUUACGGGUCUCGUAAUUGGAAUGAGUACAAUUUAAAUCUCUUAACGAGGAACAAUUGGAGGGCAAGUCUGGUGCCAGCAGCCGCGGUAAUUCCAGCUCCAAUAGCGUAUAUUAAAGUUGUUGCAGUUAAAAAGCUCGUAGUUGAAUUUCGGGAUCAGUACGCUGGUCAUGCCUUUGGUAUGCACUGGUGUCACUGGUUUCUCCCUUCUGAAGAACCGUGAUGUCAUUAAUUUGGUGUCGCGGGGAAUCAGGACUGUUACUUUGAAAAAAUUAGAGUGUUUAAAGCAGGCUCACGCUUGAAUACAUUAGCAUGGAAUAAUGAAAUAGGACGUUUGACCCUAUUUUGUUGGUUUCUAGGAUCGACGUAAUGAUUAAUAGGGAUAGUUGGGGGCAUUAGUAUUCAAUUGUCAGAGGUGAAAUUCUUGGAUUUAUUGAAGACUAACUACUGCGAAAGCAUUUGCCAAGGAUGUUUUCAUUAAUCAAGAACGAAAGUUAGGGGAUCGAAGACGAUCAGAUACCGUCGUAGUCUUAACCAUAAACUAUGCCGACUAGGGAUCGGAUGAUGUUAAUUUUAUAAUGACUCAUUCGGCGCCUUACGGGAAACCAAAGUGUUUGGGUUC